rnacentral:rRNA from 1 species
UACGUAGGUGGCAAGCGUUAUCCGGAAUUAUUGGGCGUAAAGCGCGCGCAGGCGGUCUCUUAAGUCUGAUGUGAAAGCCCACGGCUCAACCGUGGAGGGUCAUUGGAAACUGGGAGACUUGAGUGCAGGAGAGAAAAGUGGAAUUCCACGUGUAGCGGUGAAAUGCGUAGAGAUGUGGAGGAACACCAGUGGCGAAGGCGGCUUUUUGGCCUGUAACUGACGCUGAGGCGCGAAAGCGUGGGGAGCAAAC